CUUACUCGGCAGAGAGGUCAGGAGUGAAGGAAAGAAACCUGGUAAGCCUGCUCAGUUUACCACGGGAACCCAUCCUGGUUGAGGAUUGCCUCUACUGGUGUCAUUUCAGUGUGCCACCCUAAAAAAAGAGGUAAACUGAGACAAGCGCAAGUGACCAGAAAUUGAGUUUAUUCAGGAAAGGUGGAGGAAUUGCAAUUUGGGAAACGCAUGCUUAAGGAGGCUGCAGGCUAGUCCCUUGUGGAUUUGGGUGGGCUGCAUUUAUAGGCAAGGAGUGCAGAAAGGAGGAAGUGCAGCCAGAGCUCAAACAGUAUUCGUAUUGGCUUGAGGAUGGGGAGAGAUUUUUCGUGUCUGCUCAUUGGUCAGGGGAGAAGUCUUGGUCUUCUGUAAAUCAGGCAUUGGCGGGAAAUCAGUUUCACUUCAGUUCCGUUUCACUUCAGUUCCGUUUCCCUGAGGGCGCAUGCGUGAGAUUCGUCCUUUCGUAGCCUCAGGUUCCAUUUUAAAUGGAACCCGCGGGGUUUGUAUCCUCCUGGCGCUCCAGCCCAGAGACUAUCGCUAAUCUGGUAGUCGUUUCUGCAGGUGAAGAAGGAAGACUCUCUCUGCCCGUGUUGUACUCACCGGUGCUUAUGCCAAGACGUCUGUGGAGGGUUUGGGUUGUAGUGCAGGGAUAAGCCUGACAACUGAGAACAGGGAAAAGUGAUUGCUGUCACACUAGCAGGUAAGAUCAGCUGAC
rnacentral:lncRNA from 1 species